UCCACGCCGUAAACGAUGAGAACUAGACGUUGGGUCCAUUUAAGGAUUUAGUGUCGUAGCUAACGCGUGAAGUUCUCCGCCUGGGGAGUACGGCCGCAAGGUUAAAACUCAAAGGAAUUGACGGGGGCCCGCACAAGCGGUGGAGCAUGUGGUUUAAUUCGAUGCAACGCGAAGAACCUUACCAGCCCUUGACAUCCUCGGAACUUACUAGAGAUAGUUUGGUGCCUUCGGGA
rnacentral:rRNA from 1 species